AAAGUCGUAACAAGGUUUCCGUAGGUGAACCUGCGGAAGGAUCAUUACAAAUCUGAGGCCCUUUGUUUAUAUUUAUAUAGAUAAUAGGGUCUAUAUGUUCGAGGCAGCAAUGCUUCGUGACAUUUACGCUUGUAUGUUUGACAGAGUUAGUGUGAUUAUUAAAACAAAGACAACUUUUAACAAUGGAUCUCUUGGCUCUU
rnacentral:misc_RNA from 1 species